UGUAGAGCGUUGGGGCCCACUGAUUUGAGGAAAAAAUUUGAAUUCUAAAUUGUAAAAAGUGGUGUGCCUUUUUUUAGAGGAGAGAGAAAGCAGUUUUAGUAUUUCACUCAAAAGUGUGAGAAAUUGAAAGAGAGAAAUUGAAGGAGGGCGAAGAUACGCCAGACCAACAAAUUCUUAAGAAUUGAAGCAGACGAAACUUUGGACGCUCAUCCGCAGUUGGACGUGCAGAAUUAUUUUUUUUUUGAACGAUUUGGAACGAUUUGAGGGUAGCUUGAGGAAAAUCAUGAUAAAGGUUCCUGUGGCUUCUUCUAGCAAACAGACGGAUAAGAGGACACUCAAAGCUGUAGUUGAGGAUGAGGUAGAAGAAGAAGGUGAUUAUGUAUAUGAGGUGAGUGGCACAAAUUCUGAUGAUGAUGAUUAUGUGCUAGAAGAAGAGGGCGAAGAUGUAGUAGAUGAGUUAGAAGGUGGUAAAUACGAGGAUGAGGUGGAGUACGUAGUUACUCGUAGCGGGCGUAAGCAGAAAGUUAUUCCAACAAUCUACUGUGCCCUCUGUUGUGCCCAGUACUCGAAGCAGACCGGUUCAGCAGCAACAGCAGAGGAUCUUUAGAACGGUGAAGCGUGCGACAGCAGUAGUUCAAAGGCAAUUUGUAGAGAGGCCGACAGCAGUAGAGAGGCAAUAUUUAGAGAGGCUAGCAGCAGUAGAGACUCGGCAAUUUGUAGUGGACAGGCCGUUUGUAGUUGAACAAGAUCAGGUUGAUCUGGAACCGGGCCCAUCGGUCGGUGAUAAGGUGAAGAUGAAUGGGGUUGUGGUUAGUACUCAGCUAAGGAAGUGCGGGAAGUCCGCAAAUUACAAUUGACGUGUUUCAUCUUUUUCUGAUCUAAUUACUGUGUUGGAGACUGAGAACAAGAAAAUUAAGCUACUGCAGAGAUGUGGUUUUGGUGGGUUGCUGAAGUUGAAAGUGAAAAGAAUUGAUCGUAGGUUUUGUUUCUGGCUGAUGACUAGGGUAGAUCAUGAGAGGAGGUUAUUUGUAAGAGGUGAUGACAAGGAGUUGCCAUUAAGACCUGAGCAAUGGAGGUGCAUAUUUGAUCUCCCCCGGGGUCCAAAACCUGUGCCGGAUACAGUUGAGGGUCCAGUUAUGCAGAGUAAAGUUGAUGACAUUGUUCGGAAUUUUGGUGAGGUUACUCCUAGCGGCCGCGAAAAUAUACCUACUUGUUCGAAAGGCGUAUGAUUGUUUAGGGUUGAUGCCAAUUAGGACAGAGGAGGAGAAUGACCAUUUUAUGAGGGCCUUUUUAAUAGUUGUGUUGGGAUGUAUCUUGUGUCCUACAACAAAUGGUCAGAGCAUGGUACUAGCCUGUUUCCAGCUGUUACUGUAGAUGAUGCUGCCAGUGAGUAUGAUUGGUGUGCCUUUGUGCAUGGUUGGUUGAUGGGUGAUGUGCGUUACUUUCACAAAAAGUUUAACGCUAAAGGGUUUGUUGCUGGUGGUGGGUGGGUGCGACCUAUUUCAGAUGAUUUUUUUACCUCGAUCAUCUUGCGUUGCCCCCUUUGAGUUGGGGGAGAUUGCCCUGAAAUGAUGUGUGGACCGAGAAGAAAAUUAGUGCAUCUAUUCAUGCGAACUUGUUGCCAUCUUUAGAUUAUGGGAAAUUGAAACUGCUUGAUGUAGCUUAUGGAGAAAGCCAUCCAUGGGAGCCUAGGGACUCAGCGGAUUCAUUAGAAGUGAGGGUUGAAAAUGAGAUUAUUUCUCUUUACAAAUCGACUGAAGUCUGACUCAAGUCUCAUACUGACAUUGACUCAUUGUACAAGUAUCUCGUGAAAGACUUGCUAACCUAUUUCAUUUGACUUAGUUUGUCAUUUUUGUGCUGAAAAUGUUAAAGCCCUACUUUGACAAAUUGACCAUGCUGAAUGGACCUAAUAGGGGGUUUGUGAAGCAUGCUCCUAAAGAGAGGUCACCAAUUGAGAGGUCUCCAGUUAUCAAUGAUGUGGCGAGUUCGAGCUCUGAGUUUAUAGAGGAGUGCGUUCUGACGUCUGGUGAUGUAAACAAGGGUCAGCUUGAAGAGACGUAUAGAAAGCUGCAGGAAGUGGUUGGUAUGACUUCAAAUGACCCGAUAGGACAUGUGGUUCAACAAGUAACCUCUGCGGUGAAUGAAAAUUUUGGCAUAAUAGCAUAUGAGGGGCAAUAGAAGGAAGUGGUUGGUGUGGAUCAUUUACUAAUCAGUGAUGCAUAUCCCUAUGCUGCAGUGACGAAUGGGCAGCAGCCUGCAGCUGAGGGGCAGCAGCCUGAGAAAAAUGAGGAUAAGGUGAACGUUCUUGUAGUAGAGAAGGAUGUACCUGGGCUCGAUGAAGGGAACAAUGUUGAGAAGGAAGUGAAUCAUAGCUUGGAUGGCAGUGUUGGAGGAGAAGGGGGAGAUGGUAGUGGUGGAGGAGAAGGGGAGUGUAACCGGGACCGAAGUGUUGGGAAACGAUCCUUAAAGCCGUCUUCGAAGAUCAUUUCUCCUGAUUACAUUGGUAAUUGGAAGAUUUGUAAUUUGGGGAGUGUAGACACGGCCCUCAUCACUUAUUACAGACUAUGGUCGUCGAAAAGUGGCACUAGUGGUCCAAUCAUGUUGCAAUGUGAUGGAGAAUUUGCUUGUCGCGAUGCUUUCCAUGAUGUUGUUUACUGUAGAAGGAAAGUCGGUACCCAAUAUGUUAGUGUAGUGUCAAAGAUAUACAUAAAAGAAUAAGCUAUUAAGUAUGAAGGCCAAAGUAAACAAAUCAUGAUGCAUCCUGCGUAAGGGAUUAAGUUGACAUGUGACAUGGACACUCCCACAAUCCUUGCAAAAAAGCACGGACAACCUUUGUGAGGUGUAGCUGCAAGUUAGCUAGCUGUGGUGAGAAUGAUAAUUUGUGUUGAAGAAGAAUCAUAGGUGGUGUGCAGCAUUUUGUUUCAAGGAAGGGAAGAUCUGGCUCAUUGACUCGCUCUUCGAAGAUCCUGUUGCAGAACACAAAGAAUAUCUCUGUAAACUGGUAACUGCAGUGGAUGUCCUGGUGAAGGUCCACGAUCAAAGCUGGCCCGAGGAUUCCAUUGGAGCAUGGCCUAUGGAGUCAGUAAAUGUGGUCCAACAACCAAUAAUUGUUGUGGAGCGAUGAUGCUAGCGUGCAUCAAGGACAAUACUGACCAUUUUAAGACAAAGUGGCAAAUGAAUGGAGGGGACAUUAAUCAUGGUCGGAUGCAGUUGCUUAUUAAAGACCUCAAAUCUGUUUGCAAUGAGCGACGUAAUGAACUAAAUGCCCUUGUACAAGGCAGUUAGUUGGAUAUAGUUCGUGUUUUUUUUAUGUUGUUGUGGAGGAACAAACUUUCCAUAUUUUGCAAGUAGAUAUGGAUGGGGUCUGACUUAUGGUAUUGAUAUUGGUACGAUGAACUUACAAUUUUUUAGGGGUAGUACACUGUGUUUGGUUGGUUGUAAUAUGGUUGUAAUUUGGCAAGCUCUAUUAAUCAGGUACUUGCAUUUUUGUAACCCAUAACUCGUACGCAUGUAUACCAUCAAGACCAUAGUUGGUACUACAAUAUACCAUUAGAAUAUUACCAUCCUGGUGCAGGAUGGUAUCAUCUGGUGAUAAUGAGUUAGACCCUGUUCUUUUGAGCUUCUAGGCAGAGUAGGGAUCAGCAGAGCACAACAUAUUAAAUUUCAAUAGAGUUGAGCAGAUUUUAGGUUAGCAGAGCCAAGCAGAGCAGAUUUCAACAUUAUUAUUAAU